AACGAACGCUGGCGGCAGGCUUAACACAUGCAAGUCGAACGCAUCCUUCGGGGUGAGUGGCAGACGGGUGAGUAACGCGUGGGAACGUGCCCUUCAGUUCGGGAUAACCCAGGGAAACUUGGGCUAAUACCGGAUACGUGCGAGAGCAGAAAGAUUUAUCGCUGAAGGAUCGGCCCGCGUCUGAUUAGCUAGUUGGUGAGGUAAUGGCUCACCAAGGCGACGAUCAGUAGCUGGUCUGAGAGGAUGAUCAGCCACAUUGGGACUGAGACACGGCCCAAACUCCUACGGGAGGCAGCAGUGGGGAAUAUUGGACAAUGGGCGCAAGCCUGAUCCAGCCAUGCCGCGUGAGUGAUGAAGGCCUUAGGGUUGUAAAGCUCUUUCGGCGGGGACGAUAAUGACGGUACCCGCAGAAGAAGCCCCGGCUAACUUCGUGCCAGCCGCCGCCGUAACAC
rnacentral:rRNA from 1 species